GGGGCUGAUCGGUUUCGACAGCGUCUGCUGAUCUGCGAGAAGCGGGCCGAGGAUGCAGGGUUAUCUCGUUAACGCCCCCUGCAAACCAAUAAGUGCCAACUCCAAGCGCACUGACUUCGCCCUCGCUGCAUAAGCGAGCCCGAUAGUCCGUCAGACCGUGGCUGAUCCCGACACGGAUCCUGGCGUCAUCUAGGGAUCUUGCUGCGACGUGGCGUCGAGACGCGUCGUGGGACUUUUGCUCGGCUGGGCUCGUCGAUCUAUGUGUCUGUGCUAAAGAUCGGAGCCGAUGAGAACGCCUCCACAGACUGCGCCCGGAGAAACCCCAGUGACCCAGCGCUGGACGGGGGUUCGAUUCCCCCCAGCUCCACCA
rnacentral:tmRNA from 2 species